rnacentral:rRNA from 1 species
UAGGUGUGGGGGGACUGACCCCCUCCGUGCCGGAGUUAACACAUUAAGCAUUCCACCUGGGGAGUACGACCGCAAGGUUGAAACUCAAAGGAAUUGACGGGGGCCCGCACAAGCAGUGGAGUAUGUGGUUUAAUUCGAAGCAACGCGAAGAACCUUACCAGGUCUUGACAUCCAACUAACGAAGUAGAGAUACAUUAGGUGCCCUUCGGGGAAAGUUGAGACAGGUGGUGCAUGGUUGUCGUCAGCUCGUGUCGUGAGAUGUUGGGUUAAGUCCCGCAACGAGCGCAACCCCUGCCGAUAGUUGCUACGCAAGAGCACUCUAUCGGGACCGCUACCGACAAGGUGGAGGAAGGUGGGGACGACGUCAAAUCAUCAUGCCCUUUAUGACCUGGGCUACACACGUACUACAAUGGCCGUUAACAGAGGGAAGCAAUACCGCGAGGUGGAGCAAAUCCCUAAAAACGGUCCCAGUUCAGAUUGUAGGCUGCAACUCGCCUAUAUGAAGUUGGAA